GCGGGUGUAGCUUAGUGGUAAAGCACUUACCUAGCAUGUGCUAGGUCCUGGGUUCAAUCCCCAGCACCACCC
rnacentral:tRNA from 1 species